rnacentral:RNase_P_RNA from 1 species
CGGGUUGAUCGGAUAGCCGCAGUUCAAUUUUUGAAUUGAGGAAAGUCCGUACUCCGCAGAGCACGAAACCGGGGAAAUCCCGGGAUGGGGCAACCUAUCGGUAAGGGCCACAGAAACAUACCGCCUUUAUAGGUAAGGGUGAAAUGGUGGUGUAAGAGACCACCGGAAACUGCAGUAAUGCGUUUGCCAGGUAACCCCCUUCGGGAGCAAGGUCAAGCAGAAACAAACCCUCAAGCUGCUCGCUUGAACAGCUAACGCUGAUUGUUUCAGGUAGACCGCAUAGACAGAUGGCUAUCCAGGUAUGUAAAUACCGGACAGAAUACGGCUUAUAGAUCAACCCGGCUU